ensembl:snRNA U6 U6 spliceosomal RNA
GUGCUUAGUUUGGCAAUACAUAUAAUAAAAUUGGAAUGAUAAAGAGUGGAUUAAAAUGGCCCUUGUAUAAGAAUAACAUGGAAACUCAUAAAGAAUUCCAUAUUUUU